AUUGAACGCUGGCGGCAGGCUUAACACAUGCAAGUCGAGCGAGCGGCGGACGGGUGAGUAAUGUAUGGGGACUGCCCGAUAGAGGGGGAUAACUACUGGAAACGGUGGCUAAUACCGCAUACUAUCGGAUAACCCAUAUGGGAUUAGCUAGUAGGUGGGGUAAAGGCUAACCUAGGCGACGAUCUCUAGCUGGUCUGAGAGGAUGACCAUCCAAACGGGGACUGAGACACGGCCCAGACGCCUACGGAGGCAGCAGUGGGGAAUAUUGCACAAGGGGAGCAAGCCUGAGGCAGCCAUGCCGCGGGUAUGAAGAGGGCCUUAGGGUUGUAAAGUACUUUCAGCGGGGAGGCGUUACCCGCAGAAGAAGCACCGGCUAACUCCGUGCCAGCAGCCGCGGUAAUUC
rnacentral:rRNA from 1 species